CGCGUAGGUGGUUCUUCAAGUCAGAUGUUAAAUCUCCCGGCUUAACUGGGAGCAAUCAUCUGAUACUGCUGGACUUGAGGGCGGUAGAGGGAGGUGGAAUUCCCGGUGUAGUGGUGAAAUGCGUAGAUAUCGGGAGGAACACCAGUGGCGAAAGCGGCCUCCUAGGCCGUUCCUGACACUGAGGCGCGAAAGCGUGGGGAGCGAACAGGAUCAGAUACCCUGGUAGUCCACGCCCUAAACUGUGGAAACUAGGUACAGGGAGUAUCGACCCUUCCUGCGCCGUAGCUAACGCGUUAAGUUUCCCGCCUGGGGACUACGGUCGCAAGACUAAA
rnacentral:rRNA from 1 species